GAUGAACGCUAGCGGCAGGCUUAAUACAUGCAAGUCGAACGGCAGCACGUGUAGCAAUACAUGGUGGCGAGUGGCGCACGGGUGCGUAACACGUAUGUAACCUACCUCUAACAGUGGCAUAACAAUGAGAAUUAUUGCUAAUUCCGCAUGUGGUUAAUUUGAGGCAUCUUAGAUUAACUAAAGAUUUAUCGGUUAGAGCUGGGCAUGCGUCCCAUUAGCUAGUUGGUGAGGUAACGGCUCACCAAGGCAUCGAUGGGUAGGGGCUCUGAGAGGAUUGUCCCCCAACUGGUACUGAGACACGGACCAGACUCCUACGGGAGGCAGCAGUAAGGAAUAUUGGGCAAUGGACGCAAGUCUGACCCAGCCAUGCCGCGUGAAGGAAGACGGCCCUAUGGGUUGUAAACUUCUUUUCUCAGGGGGUAAACUCCGGAACGUGUUCCGGACUGAAAGUACCUGAGGAAUAAGCAUCGGCUAACUCCGUGCCAGC
rnacentral:rRNA from 1 species